GCACUCGUCCGUUCGUGGCCCACCGUGGUGGUCACCAAAUUGAGGGCUUCCUGGAAGGACCUCCUCACGGUGCCCAUCCACUGGGUCAUGUGGGUCUGGGCCACUGUGAGUUUAUCUCCCAGGUGGAGCAACACCGUCAGUCAGAAGGCAGCGGAUGGCACAGGGCUUCCGCGUAAGGCCUGCAUCGCCUGAGUCAUGGUUUUCUCAUCUUGUAUGAGGCCCACCCCCUUCAAAAGGUUGUGACAAAAAAAACAACUGAGAUAAUUUGUGCCGCUGGCACAUAGUUAACACUCAAUAAGGCCGGGCGCAGUGGCUUACACCUCUAAUCCCAGCACUUUGGGAGGCUGAGGCAGGUGGAUCACUUGAGGCCAGGAGUUCGAUACCAGCCUGACCAACAUGGUGAAACCCCAUCUCAACUAAAAAUACAAAAAUUAGCCAGGCAUGGUGGUGUGCACCUGUAGUCCCAGCUACUUGGGAGCCUGAGGCAGGAGCAUCUCUUGAACCCGGGAGGUGGAGGUUGCAGUGAGCGGAGAUGGCACCACUGCACUCCAGCCUGGGCGACAGAACAAGACUCUGUCUCAAAACAACAACAACAACAAAAUAAUAAAUGGUGACCACAAGGGAUGAUCGUUUUUCUAUUAUAAUUCCUAUCAUCUCACUGUUCAAAUGAAUCACAGGACCCUAGACAGUCAGAAUCAAGACACCAGCAGGGACCAACCUAGGCCAACCUUCCCACUAAACUGAAGAAACAGGCCCAGACCGAGGGCUGCCCUAAGGCCUCACAGUCCAUCUGCAGCAGG
rnacentral:lncRNA from 1 species